rnacentral:rRNA from 1 species
UACGUAGGGGGCAAGCGUUGUCCGGAAUCAUUGGGCGUAAAGAGCGUGUAGGCGGCCCGGUAAGUCCGUUGUGAAAGUCGAGGGCUCAACCCUCGAAUGCCGGCGGAUACUGCCGGCUAGAAUCCGGAAGAGGCGAGUGGAAUUCCUGUGUAGCGGUGAAAUGCGCAGAUAUCAGGAGGAACACCAAUGGCGAAGGCAGCUCGCUGGGACGGUAUUGACGCUGAGACGCGAAAGCGUGGGGAGCAAACAGG